CUUUUUCCUGCUCCUCUCCACCCAGAAGCAGGCCUGGCAACAAGGCUGAAACACCACUGGCAGAAACCCAGCACCCACACAGCCAGGCAUGGGCUGGGGUUCCCCAGGGAGGACCAUCAAUCUUCUCACCCACCUAAGGCAUUUGGCCGCAGCAGGAGGGCCUCAGAGUUCCUACCCGAUGCUGAGUGGGACCCAAGGGAACAGGAUGCCAGGCCUCUGCGGGUCACCCGUGGUGGUAUGUGUGAAACCCCAUACCACCAACGUGAGCCAUUGGCCCAUCCCCAUCGGCCCAGCUCAGCCUGGCAAGGAGGCAGCCAGGUCCCGGAGAGCAGGGGCCCCAGAGCCAGCUUCCAGAAUUGGGGGUGUCUCCCCAUCCUGACUUUCCUCCACAACCCACCUGGGGUCUGUCACUCUACACCACCCAAAGCUCUUUACAUCGUGCCCUGUGUUGCAAUUCAGUACAACAAGUGCCCUGUGCGGAAGGGUGGCCUUUUACUCAUUCCAGAAAUAAAUGGCCAUCAAGCACCCACUA